AACUCUAUAUGCACAGAACUCAUGCCUCUGGGACUCCAUCUAGAUUCAGUGAUAGUGGAUCUGGAAGUGACUUCACUCUGGCCAUCAGUGGAGUCCAAUCUGAAGAUACAGUGAGGAUGUUGAGAGCCCAUGCUUGAGUGCUCAUGGACUGUAUAUAACCCAGUGUGUUCAACACUUCAUUAGUGAGACCUGUUCUUCAUGACAACAGAACCAACAACAACCAUGACUUUGACCAUCUUCAUCUGUAUUUUUACCCUCUUUAUUCAAGAGUCCAGAGGACAGAUCGUUGUGACUCAGAGUCCUGCAUUAAAAUCUGUUUCUGUGGGUCACUCAGUCAGUCUCAGCUGUAAGACCAGUAGUUCUGUAUACAUGUGAAUAGCUAGUGGACAGCAGCUUGGCCUGGUAUCAACAGAAAUUUGGAGAAGCUCCUAAACUCCUCAUAUAUUUAGUUAGUACCCGUUACUCUGGGACCCCAUCUAGAUUCAGUGGUAGUGGAUCUGGGAGUGACUUCACUCUGACCAUCAGUGGAGUCCAGCCUGAAGAUACAGGGGAUUACUACUGUCAGAGUGUACACUUUCCUAUUAGUGUCAGGACGUACACACAGUGAUACAGAGUCGUACAAAAACCUCCCUCAGUCAGAUUACACAGUGACUACUGGUACAGCUGGGACUUACUGCAGGUGCUGAAGUGGAAGAGACAGUGGUAUGGAACACUGCUCAGUAGAGGAUGUCAACUCUAACAUGUUACAACAUGAUUGGAAGGUUAUCAUUGGUAUAAUGUUCUCUCAUUGACCUCUCCUGAAUUAACCUCAUCGACAUAUUGGUUAUGACUACCAAGUGCACCCACCCUACCUAGUCACACAAGAUUUAUCUUUGCAGUUAAAGUUACAAACAUGAGCACUACAGACCGGUGAAAAUGAAUGGAACAGAAAUAUUAUAUAUCCACACGAUUAGCUUACUGACUGACGCCUGGUUCUGUGAAUGAGAAACAGAUGUUGGAUCAGACUUUAUUGUCAUAACAGGAUAAACAAAUGGUCUAGUCAGUGUAUUUUAUAAUAGUAAUUAGUUAACCCUUGUUAAGUGUCAUCUAUUAGUCCACAUUAAAAUCAAUCGAAUCUCUCCACACCUGGCCCAUUCUGAAGGAUUUCAGGCCGUGAACCAGUGAAACUAGAAUGUGAGCUGUAGGAGUGAAACAUAUUUGCAUAGACAAGGCUGGGUGGUUCUGCUUUUCCCAGAAUACAUCACCUCUGCAACCAGAUGUUCACCCUGUUCCCAGGAGGUUGGAGGUAGAGAAGUGACUAGCUUGAUGCUGUAGUAAAAUUCUUGU